CCGCCGCCGGGCGGCGCGGAGGGCGUCGAGCCCGUGCCCUGGGCCGCGGUGGGUGCCGGGCACGCCUUCCAGUUCAGCUUCUGGGUGGCGAGC
rnacentral:tRNA from 1 species